rnacentral:misc_RNA from 1 species
UUCAUCAAUCCUCCUUUACUUUUGUAAUGGUUGGCUUGGAUUUGGGGAUUGCUGGCCUUUCAUUAGGUCUGGCUUCCCUUGAAUGCAUUAGUUGAAUUGACUUGCAACGCUAUGUGUGGUGUGAUAAUAUCUUCACUGCAUAGUUGUAAUGAAGUUUGGCUUAUAACUGUCUUUCAUUAGACAAUUUUGACC